UAAUAUAAGUAUUUGAACAACUUCAAAUAAAACAUAUAUGAAAUAUUUAUUUUCAGGUAAAGGAUUUUAAUAAUAUUGCAAAAAGUGAGGAAGAUAUAAGUGCCUAUGCUGAUUAUGUGGGAUCCUCAAUUAUGCUUGGCAUAGCUUUGACAUCUAUACUAAUAUCUGAUCCCCAUGGUACCCUCAACACAUUGUUUGGUCUUAGCACAAAUUUAUGGAUGGCAAAUGCUAGAGGAGGCCGGAGCUAACCACAAAUAUGAGGUAGACAUUGAACUGCCAGAAUAUAGAAGAUCUGCCCUUAAAAGAAGCACAUGGCAUUGGAGAGACUCCGUAGAUAAAGUUUGAGAAACUUCCGAAACUUCAUCAGUUACUAUUGAAUAAAGUCGCGCUUUCUUUUGCCUUCAAGCUAUAUACUAUAUGUCAUUUUCAACACGUUGUUUGAUCUUAGCACAAAUAUAUGGAUAUUGUCAUUUUCAGUUUAUAUGAUUUCAUAACAGAAAUGUGAAGUAUAAUAACUUUUUUUUGUGUAA